AGAGACGUCGGCUCCUGGGUUCUAGGCGGCUGCUGCUCGCACAGCCAGAGCAGUUGGGCCGCCUCCCGCUGCCUGGUGCCGCCCCCCUCCCCACGCGGAGAUGUCGCCUCGGGUACCCUCUUCCGCCCCUCUCCGAGGGGCUGCUGCACCAGCCAAUCGGGAACCCCGAUGCGCGUCUGUUGGCUGCCACUCAGCUGUCAACCGUCAGUCAACAGUCUGCUGGCCACGGGCCCCCCAACUGUCAGUCAACCUGUCAGUCAACAGGCAGAGGGCUGCAUUCCUUCGUUCGUAUGUUCCUUGGUUCAUUCAUUCAGGUAGCAAAUAUUCCAGGCAGCCAACCUUUAUUGCGCCCAGGCCCGGCACCAAGUCGAAUACCCCACGCUUGCCUUCACAGAAUCAAUCAACAGAUAUUUGUUGGGUGCCAACCAUGUGUCAACUCACUCUGCCUUCCUAGAGCUUACAUUCUAAAGGAAGAGACAUAGUCCAAGCCCACAAAUAAGAUAAUUUCAGAUGCUGCUAAGUUUUACAAAAACACAUUUUGUAACACAAGGUGAGGGGACAGAGAGUGAGCAGAGGUGUGGGUUACUUUAGAUAGGGUGGUCAAGGAAGGCCUCGCUUAGGAGGUGACAUUUGAGCUGAUAUUGAAUGAUGACAGAGAGCUGGCCUUGCAAAGAUCCACAGGAAAAGAGUUCCUGGCAGAGGGAACAGCAAGGGCAGAAGGCUCAGGAAACCGUCCAUUUGGAGGUCUGGAAACCGGCACAGAAAUAAACACGGUAGAGCUAGACCAGAGACCAACAAAGUGAAUCUGGAGCUUAGAUGGAGAGAGAAGAGAGAGAUUAAUUGAGGCCCCAGGUACUGCGGAAUGCUUCCCCAGGAGUGGAUGAGGCCGUCUGAAAGGGUGAGAGGCUUAUCAAAGAAAAGUCAUUCUUUUGGCCGGGCGCGGUGGCUCACGCCUGUAGUCCCAGCACUUUGGGAGGCCGAGGUGGGUGGAUCAUGAGGUCAGGAGAUCGGGACCAUCCUGGUUAACACGGUGAAACCCUGUCUCUACUAAAAAUACAAAAAAUUAGCCGGGCGUGGUGGUGGACGCCUGUAAUCCCAGCUACUCAGGAGGUUGAGGCAGGAGAAUGGCGUGAACCCCGGAGGCAGAGCUUGCAGUGAGCCGAGAUUGCGCCACUGCACUCCAGCCUGGGCAACAGCGAGACUCUGUCUCAAAAAAAAAAAAAGAAAAAGAAAAAGAAAAAGAAAAAAAAAAAAGAAAAGGCAUUCUAGAAAGAAAGAAUGGCAUGAAGUAAGGCCCAAUUCCUGGUGAGCUUGAAUCCGAGAGUGGGAUGGGUGAUUUGUGCUGGAGUGUUGAGAAAAUAUACUGAGAAGGUGCACUGAGGCCAGACUUUGAGGGCCCAGCUAAGCCUCCUUGCCAGUUACUGUGUUCAUGAAUAAAAAUGAUUAACCAGUGCAGCUUCAGAAUUUAGAAACAUGCCUGGGCAACAGAUACACUAACCCUCCUGGACACCCCUCCACCCCCACCCUUCACCCCCCUGUUUCUCUGCAGAAGGCAAAACUCACACACCUGAAACCAACGUACUCAAGCUUCUCUGCAGCUUGCCCAACUUUAGGCCAGAAUUUAGCUCUGCUCCAGUUUCCCAGGGCCUGCCCAGGCUUACAGGGAACACCACACCCUGAAUCUAUCUCCAAAUGGAUCAGUUGGCCAUUGCCCAUACAUCUGCCGCUUGCCUGUUCCCCAAGGGAAACCCUUUAAAGAGAAAGCCAAGUACACUUUCCCUUCAGAAGCAAAGCUCUCCUUCCUUAUUCCCCCACUGCCAGGUGCCAGGACCAGUUAGGUUCCAAGUGUUUCCUCCAAAGCUCUAUCAGAGAGCCCUGGGAAAAGGCUCACUGAUGAGAUUGAGGUCCAGGCCGGGCGCGAUGGCUCACGCCUGUAAUCCCAGCACUUUGGGAGGCCAAGGCAGGUGGAUCAUGAGGUCAAGAGGUCGUG
rnacentral:lncRNA from 10 species